AGGGAUUGCCUUAGUAACGGCGAGUGAAGCGGCAACAGCUCAAAUUUGAAAUCUGGCGUCUUUGGCGUCCGAGUUGUAAUUUGCAGAGGAUGCUUCGGCGUUGGCGCCGCCCAAAGUUCCUUGGAACGGGACGUCGCAGAGGGUGAGAGCCCCGUGUUCGGGCGGAUGCCUUCGCCGUGUGAAGCUCCUUCGACGAGUCGAGUUGUUUGGGAAUGCAGCUCAAAACGGGAGGUAAAUUUCUUCCAAAGCUAAAUACCGGCCGGAGACCGAUAGUGCACAAGUAGAGUGAUCGAAAGAUGAAAAGCACUUUGGAAAGAGAGUCAAACAGCGCGUGAAAUUGUUAAAAGGGAAGCGCUUGCGGUCAGAACUUGGCCGCCGUUGCUCGGGGAGGUCUUGCGCCUCCCUCGCUCUUCGGCGGCUGGGCCAGCAUCGGUUCGGGCGGCUCGAGAAAGGUCGCGGGAAUGUAGCUCCCUCCGGGGAGUGUUAUAGCCCGCGGCGCAAUAGGGCCCGCCUGGACCGAGGUCUGCGCAUUUGCUCGGAUGCUGGCGUAAUGGCCCCAAGCGGCCCGUCUUGAAACACGGACCAAGGAGUCUAACAUUCGUGCGAGUGUUCGGGUGUCAAACCCGUGCGCGCAAUGAAAGUGAACGUAGGUGGGAACCCCUCGUGGGCGCACCAUCGACCGAUCCUGAUGUCUUCGGAUGGAUUUGAGUAUGAGCACGUAUGUUGGGACCCGAAAGAUGGUGAACUAUGCCUAAGCAGGGCGAAGCCAGAGGAAACUCUGGUGGAGGCUCGCAGCGGUUCUGACGUGCAAAUCGAUCGUCAAAUUUGGGUAUAGGGGCGAAAGACUAAU
rnacentral:rRNA from 1 species